UAUUAUUAUUACCUUUUUGAAAUAAUGUCAGUGAAAUGCUUUGCUGACUGGAGAGUACAAUUGGCAAAACUUAAGUUUUGCUGAUCUUGUCACUCCAAAAUUUCCAUGUGGAUGCAUUUACAAGAUGUGCUCAAAACAUUCUGUGGGUACUAUUUUCUGUUUUUCUGGAGCAGUGUAGCUCAGUCUGCUUUCAGGUAUAGGAGCACUCUGAAGACAGCUGUUUAUUUGAAUAGGAAUUUUUAAGCUGUGCACUGGUAUAUUAUUUUUCAUCAAGAAAGUAGUGAUGUGUUGUCAUGUUACACAAAUGUUUACAGUUUGAAACUGUGUGCACUUGUUAUUAGUUUUUUUUCAAGAGGUUCAGCUGCAGAUCAUAAGUAACUGAUAACCUUUCCCAUUUGUGGCUAAGGCAGAAUUUGCCUUUCCAGUAUUGAUACAAUUUCAAGCAGACCAGUGAAAUAAAUAAAUAACAAUGUCAAUUAGUGGCUUAUUAAUUUAUCCAGUACCAAAUUAUCUUAUCAAAAUUAUAAGAAUUGUAUUAAAGACAGUAAGGAGAACUACUAAUAAGAU